rnacentral:lncRNA from 1 species
GUUUUAUCUUAAAGAAAAUGAUCAUAAUCCAGCAAACACACAAUAUAAGAGAAAAUACCUCAAACUAAAGUAUACUUCCAGUGGAUACAAGGUUUGGGGAGGAUGUGACUAUGGUGAUUGUACUUUAUCUGAAAUGUUCUGCUCCUGACUCUCCACAAACACAAAUCCCCCUUAGGAACCUCAGUUUACUAAUCCAUAAAACUACCAUGGUCAUCUAAAUGAUCUCCAGGAUCACUCUUGCAAAACUCUACCAUAACAGCACUAACUAAUGCUUCAUUUUUGUCAUGGUUACUCAUCGAGAACCCUUAGAUAUUCCAGACCUGAGCAGGACUGGGGCAAGGGUGAGACGUCAUAAGCACUUACCUCAGGAACAGAACUUAAGGCCCUACCAAAAAGCACAAUGAUAUGGUUUGGUUGUGUCCCCACCCAAAUCUCUUCUUGAAUUGUAGUUUCCAUAAUUCCUACGUGUUGUGCAAGGGACCCAGUGGGAGGUAAUUGAGUCAUGGGGGAGUUUUCCCCACGGAGUGCAAUGGCGCGAUCUUGUCUCACUGCAACCUCCACCUCCCAGGUUCAAGCGUUUCUCCUGCCUCAGCCUGCUGAGUAGCUGGGAUUACAGGUGCUGCCACCACACCAGGCUAAUUUUUUUUUUUUUUGUAUUUUUAACAGAGACGGGUUUCACCAUGUUGGUCAGGCUGUUCUCGAAUUUCUGAAUCUGGUGCUUUUAUAAGGGGGUUUUUCCCUGGCUUCGCUAUGCCCUUCUCCUUGCUGCUGCCCUGUGAAGAAAGGCGUGUUUGCUUUCCGUUCUUCCAUAUUGUUGUUCUCUGUCCUGAAUACCUACAGUUCUUGUUUCAGAUCUUCUACGAACUACUCUCUGGCUAAAAACAAAACUUUGUACUUUCCUGCUUAAAAUGUUUUAAUGAAUACCUAAUAUCAAAAAU